rnacentral:rRNA from 1 species
CAAUAGCGUAUAUUAAAGUUGUUGCAGUUAAAAAGCUCGUAGUUGGAUUUCGGGGUGGCCUGGCUGGUCCGCCGCAAGGUGAGUACUGGUCAGCCGCCCUUCCUCUCGAAAGCCCCGACUGCUCUUUACUGCAGUGGUCGGGUAGUUCGGGACGUUUACUUUGAAAAAAUUAGAGUGUUCAAGGCAGGCUAUCGCCUGAAUACAUUAGCAUGGAAUAAUGGAAGAGGACCUCGGUCCUAUUUUGUUGGUUUCUAGGGCCGAAGUAAUGAUUAAGAGGGACAGUUGGGGGCAUUCGUAUUUAAUUGUCAGAGGUGAAAUUCUCGGAUUUAUGAAAGACGAACAACUGCGAAAGCAUUUGCCAAGGAUGUUUUCAUUAA